ACCAAUCUAGAAGGUUUGACCCUUAACAACCAAAAAUUUAUUAAACAAAAGAAAUUCAAACCAAACACAAUAAUUAAAAACAUAAACAACAACCAUCACUUCAAAAUGUUAAAAUGUGCGUGGGGGGCAAAAGACCCCAAAAAGUACAUAACCAAAAUACCAAAUAUCUGAAAAUACAAGAAAAUAAAACAUAACAUAAAAAAAAAACUUAGUCCUCAUAGGACUCAGAACUCUCUUCACUACCGGCCUCAGAACCGGAACCAUCAUCAUCACCAUCAUCAUCAUCAGCAGCAUCAUC
rnacentral:lncRNA from 1 species